rnacentral:rRNA from 1 species
UACGGAGGGUGCAAGCGUUAAUCGGAAUUACUGGGCGUAAAGCGCACGUAGGCGGCGCAGCAAGUCAGGGGUGAAAUCCCGGGGCUCAACCUCGGAACUGCCUUUGAUACUGCAAGUCUUGAGUCCGAUAGAGGUGAGUGGAAUUCCUAGUGUAGAGGUGAAAUUCGUAGAUAUUAGGAAGAACACCGGUGGCGAAGGCGGCCCACUGGUCCGGUACUGACGCUGAGGUGCGAAAGCGUGGGGAGCAAACAGGA